UACGGAGGGUGCGAGCGUUGUCCGGAAUCACUGGGCGUAAAGGGCGCGUAGGCGGUUCGUUAAGCGUGCGGUGAAAGCUCGGGGCUCAACCCCGAGUCGGCCGUGCGAACUGGGGAACUGGAGCCCACUAGAGGCAGGCGGAAUUCCGGGUGUAGCGGUGGAAUGCGUAGAGAUCCGGAAGAACACCGGUGGCGAAGGCGGCCUGCUGGGGUGGAGCUGACGCUGAGGCGCGACAGCGUGGGGAGCAAACAGGAUUAGAUACCCUCGUAGUCC
rnacentral:rRNA from 1 species